GUAAGUAAUAAAGUGGGGUGGUUUUAAGCCACUGAGUGCUGAGUUCGGAGCGGGUCUGCGGGCUGCACUAGAUACGACACAAACAUGGCUGCGUGGGCCGGGAAGAGAAUCAGCAUCACUGUGGAGUGAGGGGCCUCUGCCAGCCAAUCGUGCUGACAUGAAAACACACAAAACCGCCAUCCACAGAUGUGCACACACGCACGCCUCGCCAACACAGCUUCAGCUCAUUUGCAAAACCCAAAGCUGCUUGCAGGUGAGCUGGUGAACGAGAAGCAGGAAGAGGAAGCUCUUGAGGAAACAGUCAGCUCCGCCCCUGCGAGAAUGAGGCCGAACCCAAACCGCAGUGGAAAUGUCAGCACUGAGGAGGCGCAUCGCGGCUUGGCUUGUGGUGGACCCACUGCAUUUAUUGUAACUGGGUAACCCGAGUCUGUCCUGUCCCCAGUCCCCAGCACCACUGCCCCAUUCUAACAGGGUCAGCCAAGUUAAUUCUGCUAUGGAAAAGUGAAAGGAAAAGAGACACCAUAUUAAAGAAUCUUACCACAGUGAUAUAUGCACACCCAUGUUCAUAGCGGCACAGUGCAUAAUAGCUAAAGCUUGGAAACAGCCCAAGUGCCCGUCAACUGGAAACUAGAUAAAGAAGAUGUGGGUUUUUUUAUAAAAUGGAGUACUACUCAGCCAAAGGAAUGAGAAACUAGAGGCAUUUUAUAGCUAAAUGGAUGCAUAUUGAGGCCAUCCUCUUAAGUGAAAUAAAUAGGACACACACACGUGUAAAUACCGAAUCGUUUCUCUAGUGUGAGAAACUGAAACUGUAAUUAAGGAUUAAAAUGCUUAAAAUGAAUAAUGGAUAAUUUGAAAUAAGAAGAAAAGGUCCAAAGGGGUUGGGGAAGUAGGAGGGGUAAGGGAAAGGAAAAAUGAGAAAUGGAAAAAAUGGAAACAAAGUCUUUGUAAAUAGGGAAGGGUGGAGGGGUGCAGGGAGGACAGGGAAUGGGGAAAAAAUAAGAACCAAGAUGCAUCAUGCACAGGUACAAGCACCCAAUGAUAAAUGUAAAUGUAUUGUAUACCUAAAAUGUAC
rnacentral:lncRNA from 1 species